GAUGAACGCUGGCGGCGUGCCUAAUACAUGCAAGUCGAGCGAACAGACGAGGAGCUUGCUCCUCUGACGUUAGCGGCGGACGGGUGAGUAACACGUGGAUAACCUACCUAUAAGACUGGGAUAACUUCGGGAAACCGGAGCUAAUACCGGAUAAUAUAUUGAACCGCAUGGUUCAAUAGUGAAAGACGGUUUUGCUGUCACUUAUAGAUGGAUCCGCGCCGCAUUAGCUAGUUGGUAAGGUAACGGCUUACCAAGGCAACGAUGCGUAGCCGACCUGAGAGGGUGAUCGGCCACACUGGAACUGAGACACGGUCCAGACUCCUACGGGAGGCAGCAGUAGGGAAUCUUCCGCAAUGGGCGAAAGCUUGACGGAGCAACGCCGCGUGAGUGAUGAAGGUCUUCGGAUCGUAAAACUCUGUUAUUAGGGAAGAACAAAUGUGUAAGUAACGGUGCACGUCUUGACGGGACCUAAUCAGAAAGCCACGGCUAACUACGU
rnacentral:rRNA from 1 species